rnacentral:lncRNA from 1 species
CUGGGUAAAUGCACGACUUGUUCUUGCCUUCUAAAGCAGAGAGGAGCUUUUGUGGGUAGUUCCUACAGGGAUACAUGGUAGAGAAUUCACCAAACCCAGUGCUGGAGUGACAUGCUCUGGAGUCAGAAGACAGCGAAAAGAGAAGCAGAAGCCCCGGUGGCAAGAGUCUGAAGCAAGAAGGAUGACUGUUGCCUGUGGAUUGUACUGCAGUAGGAAACUGUCCUAGCAAGGCUCCACCUUGCCCCAGCUUCAAGCUGGAAAGGAGGAGAACAUGAAACAUUGCUUGAAGACAAUGGCCGAGACAGCAGGUCCCACCCUGCACAGCCACCAGCAUCUCUCCCCUCAGCCCUGUCUCCUCUUCUGCA